rnacentral:lncRNA from 1 species
CGGUCGUGGAUGUGAUCCGGAAACCGGCGGCGAUGGAAGGUGGCAGCCGCCUUGGCAGCGCGUGAGCGGGACGAGGAUAUCAAAGGCGACUGCAAUACCUGCGUGGAAAUAGAAGACAGAAAGGUAAGUCCAUAUUUUUCAUGUUUUUGCUUUCAAACAAAACAAGAGCUCUGUGAUGUCA